CCCUGGCUCAGAUUGAACGCUGGCGGCAGGCCUAACACAUGCAAGUCGAGCGGAUGACAGGAGCUUGCUCCUGAAUUCAGCGGCGGACGGGUGAGUAAUGCCUAGGAAUCUGCCUGGUAGUGGGGGACAACGUUUCGAAAGGAACGCUAAUACCGCAUACGUCCUACGGGAGAAAGCAGGGGACCUUCGGGCCUUGCGCUAUCAGAUGAGCCUAGGUCGGAUUAGCUAGUUGGUGAGGUAAUGGCUCACCAAGGCGACGAUCCGUAACUGGUCUGAGAGGAUGAUCAGUCACACUGGAACUGAGACACGGUCCAGACUCCUACGGGAGGCAGCAGUGGGGAAUAUUGGACAAUGGGCGAAAGCCUGAUCCAGCCAUGCCGCGUGUGUGAAGAAGGUCUUCGGAUUGUAAAGCACUUUAAGUUGGGAGGAAGGGCAGUAACUUAAUACGUUGCUGUCUUGACGUUACCGACAGAAUAAGCACCGGCU
rnacentral:rRNA from 1 species